rnacentral:rRNA from 1 species
UUGAUCCUGGCUCAGGAUGAACGCUGGCGGCGUGCCUAAUACAUGCAAGUCGAACGAGGUGCUUUUGUAGCAAUACGAGAGUAUCCUAGUGGCGAACGGGUGAGUAACGCGUUGGUGACCUACCCCAAAGUGUGGGAUAACAGUCCGAAAGGAUUGCUAAUACCGCAUGUGGUCAUUGGCUUUAGAAACUGAUGACUAAAGGAGCAAUUCGCUUUGGGAGGGACCUGCGUCCCAUCAGCUAGUUGGUGAGGUAAUGGCUCACCAAGGCUACGACGGGUAGGGGACCUGAGAGGGUGACCCCCCACAAUGGAACUGAAACACGGUCCAUACACCUACGGGUGGCAGCAGUAGGGAAUAUUGCUCAAUGGGCGAAAGCCUGAAGCAGCAACGCCGCGUGCGUGAUGAAGGUCUUCGGAUCGUAAAGCGCUUUUCUGGGAGAUGAGAAAGGACAGUAUCCCAGGAAUAAGUCUCGGCUAACUACGUGCCAGCAGCCGCGGUAAAACGUAGGAGGCAAGCGUUAUCCGGAUUCACUGGGCGUAAAGCGCGUGCAGGUGGCGCGGUAAGUUGGGCGUGAAAUCUCCCGGCUCAACUGGGAGAGGUCGUUCAAUACUACCGUGCUAGAGAGCAGAAGAGGAAGAUGGAAUUCCCGGUGUAGUGGUGAAAUGCGUAGAUAUCGGGAGGAACACCAGUGGCGAAGGCGAUCUUCUGGUCUGUUUCUGACACUCAGACGCGACAGCUAGGGUAGUAAACGGGAUUAGAGACCCCGGUAAUCCUAGCCGUAAACGAUGUGAACUUGGCGUUGGUGGGUUAAACUCCAUCAGUGCCGUAGCAAACGCGAUAAGUUCACCGCCUGGGGACUACGGCCGCAAGGUUAAAACUCAAAGGAAUUGACGG